rnacentral:rRNA from 1 species
GAUGAACGCGGGCGGCGCGCCUAACACAUGCAAGUCGAACGAUUAAAGCACCUUCGGGUGUGUAUAAAGUGGCGAACGGCUGAGUAACACGUGGGCAACCUGCCCCUCUCAUUGGGAUAGCCACGGGAAACCGUGGAUAAUACCGAAUACUUCGAGACUUCCGCAUGGAAGACUCGAGAAAGCUCCGGCGGAGAGGGAUGGGCCCGCGGCCUGUUAGCUUGUUGGUGGGGUAACGGCCUACCAAGGCAAUGAUGGGUAGCUGGGUUGAGAGACCGACCAGCCAGAUUGGGACUGAGACACGGCCCAGACUCCUACGGGAGGCAGCAGUGGGGAAUCUUGCACAAUGGGCGAAAGCCUGAUGCAGCGACGCCGCGUGCGGGAUGAAGGCCUUCGGGUUGUAAACCGCUUUCAGCAGGGACGAGGCGAAAGUGACGGUACCUGCAGAAGAAGCCCCGGCUAACUACGUGCCAGCAGCCGCGGUAAUACGUAGGGGGCAAGCGUUAUCCGGAUUCAUUGGGCGUAAAGCGCACGUAGGCGGUCUGUUAGGUCGGGAGUUAAAUCCGGGGGCUCAACCCCCGUUCGCUCCCGAUACCGGCAGACUUGAGUUUGGUAGGGGAAGGUGGAAUUCCUAGUGUAGCGGUGGAAUGCGCAGAUAUUAGGAAGAACACCAGUGGCGAAGGCGGCCUUCUGGGCCAUAACUGACGCUGAGGAGCGAAAGCUAGGGGAGCAAACAGG